UACGAAGGGGGCUAGCGUUGUUCGGAAUCACUGGGCGUAAAGGGCGCGUAGGCGGCCAUUCAAGUCAGGGGUGGAAGCCUGUGGCUCAACCACAGAAUUGCCUUUGAUACUGUUUGGCUAGAGACCGGAAGAGGUAAGUGGAACUGCGAGUGUAGAGGUGAAAUUCGUAGAUAUUCGCAAGAACACCAGUGGCGAAGGCGGCUUACUGGUCCGGUUCUGACGCUGAGGCGCGAAAGCGUGGGGAGCAAACAGG
rnacentral:rRNA from 1 species